UACGGGGGGGCAAGCGUUGUUCGGAAUUACUGGGCGUAAAGGGCUCGUAGGCGGCCAACUAAGUCAUACGUGAAAUCCCUCGGCUUAACCGGGAACUGCGUCUGAUACUGGAUGGCUUGAGUUCGGGAGAGGGAUGCGGAAUUCCAGGUGUAGCGGUGAAAUGCGUAGAUAUCUGGAGGAACACCGGUGGCGAAGGCGGCAUCCUGGACCGAUACUGACGCUGAGGAGCGAAAGCCAGGGGAGCAAAGCGGG
rnacentral:rRNA from 1 species